AACUAUUUCACAUUUUCGAUCUCAUAAUAUUGAAUCGGCGGACUCUAUUAACAAUGCAAAUAACGUCGUGGAGUGUAGCCAGCUUCGUAAAUGCACAUGGAACGAAAAACAAAUUUCUAUUUGAAGUACAAGCAUGUGACUACCGAUCUUAAUUUGAAGGGCAUAAGAUCUGCACUAACGACAUAUUAAAUUGCAUAAAAUGUGGUCCUUAUGUUUUAUUGGUUUCGAUGGGCGGGGUAAGCGGAGUCCUUCAAUAUCACAACGGAACUGAUUCAGUUUAGAAGCAGAUUUAACGAUAAUACCUUUACGUACUCAGAGCAUGAUCACCAUCAGCUAUUCAAAGGAGACUGGAUACAGUACAGCGUUAUAUGAAUCGAGUUGUGGAAGUUGUGGAUUCAGGAUCUAACUGGAUUAAGCUAACAGAGUACGAGGAUAGAAUUGAAUAUGACAUGGAUAGAAUUUUGAAGAUCUGGUAUAAAUUUAAUUUCAGAUGUAUAUCAAAAAGGUAAUAAAGACAGAAGAGCUA